CUGCUGCCCACUCAAAUAGCGUCUGCUGCCGGGGGGAGGAGCCUGAGAGGCCGCUGCUGUCAGUCAAUGAGAUGGGCGGACGCUUCCUUCAAUGGCAGCGCAGGGGAGGAAAGGUCACGAGGAGGAUUGGCCAAUCAACACAUCGAUAACUUUCAAGUAGUCCAAAUUCCACUGGCACACUGUUGUGAACAGCACCGAUGGCGUUCGUGGUUAAGCUGGACCCCUACUGAUCAGGUCCUCACCUCAUGCCAAGAGUGUCACCUGAAUCUCACCUCCUUGAGCAGCAGCUGCCGUAACCCUCCUCGUCGACGUCACCUGUGUUUGUCAGCCACAGUCUCUGUGCUCCUCUGGAUCUCCAGCCACGCCACGAACUCUGUCUGGCCUCCCAGCUCUUGGGACUCUGCACGUACGGUACCGGAGACUACAAUCAAGAGCCGCAGCCACGUUACCCACAGCCUCGCCAGGAAUCAGCAAGAACUUAAAAUAAAUUCUUUACUUUUCACUCA